rfam:Bacillus solimangrovi strain GH2-4 NODE_2_length_235194_cov_1.94797_ID_5912, whole genome shotgun sequence.
UAUGUAGUGACGCGGAACUUGAGGGGAGAGGGCGGUAAACUUCUAGUCUGAGGAACACAAACUUCAUAAGAGUAUAGCUAUCGUUGGAUGAGUUUGCAAAACAAAGUCUAUCCUGCCAAAGGUGAUACAGAAUAAAUGAUGCAGAUAGGUGAAAGGAAAGGUUGUAUG